GGGGCAGUGCUAAUAGCUUUGUGCUAUAGCGCAAUGGGGAAGGCUCGUCGUCGAAAACAAGAGCUGAGACAAGAAGUACGGAUGGAUGGUUCAUUUCAUGUCUAGUCAGGUCUCGAGAGCGAGUGGAAGAUAGAUCUGGAAUGUCAAGAGCCAGAGAACGACAUGCAAGUAAGUAGGGCAGUCGUCAGAGCUGUAGUCAUUGUCAGUAGCAGAGGCUAAAGCCGCUGGCAAUGCAGUGUAAUACAUUAACCUCUCCUCUCCCUAUCGGUCGAAGCCAGAUUCUUUCAGAACCUUGAACUACUUGAGCUCAUUCGAGACCACUGCAAAUAAAAUAGAAGAAGCCGCCCUUUUAUAG
rnacentral:lncRNA from 1 species